AGACACACUGGCAAGCCUACAGACAUACUUGGACAGAUUAUCUCUCUCCUGAACUCUACACUCUGGUUUGCUUAAGACAGUGACCUCACAAUGGGCUUCAUGAACGUAAGUGGGACCACCAGAAAACUUUUCUGUGAUCUUCCAGCCCAGAAGCCUUAGGCCAACAUUUCUCCCUAACCUGCACGAUCCUAUGUUUCAGGGCUUACACAGAAGGUGACCCCAGUACCUGCUGUGUAAAAUCUAGUUAACUCAGAGAUGCAGAACCCAGGAUGCCCUAGAAAGGCUACCUGUCAUGACUAAGUUAGCCCUGAAAGUCUAAAGAAAAUGAGGAGCGGAUACACGCCCAACCCAAGACAGAUGGGGUACAAGGGAGUUUCCUAGGUCCUCAGUGUUUCAGCUAAAAAGGAGCAGAUGAGAUCAGUUAGCCCAGUCCCUCGCCCCAUUAAUGAAGAAGCUAUAUCCAGACAGCUUGAAGGUAGCCAACCCUUCAAGGUCGCUUUUUCAGAUCUAGCCUGCACUUGAGUCAAAGAGAAGGGCAAGAGCCUACACUGAAGCUGAGAAGAAAAAAAAAAAGAUCUUAUUACUUAAGUUCUAAGCCCAUGAUUCUCCUCACAUCCUGUGAUGAUUAACCAUCAGUCUUCAUUGUCCACUUGACUGGCUUGAGAAUCACCUGGGAGACACACCUCUGGAUUUAACUGGGGGGCAAAGGACCCAACCUGCAGUGCUGCCAGCCAUCACUCAGCCUACACUUCUGCUGUCCGCAAUGGGAAGUUUCAUGGUGCAGCAUCUCUGCGGACACCCUGGUACCCCGGAAUAGAACAGUUGUUAUUGUCACCAUCACUGACAGCCCAGGCAUCAUUUGGCAAGGCAACCCCAUUGGCAUGGCAGCAAUCAGUGAUCUGUGCUGAUGUCACCAUUCCACACAAUGAGACCAAAUCUCUCUUCGCUCUGACUCCUAGACCCCAGAGGGUGCGCAAAGGACAGAGUAAAUUAUUCUAGUAAUGGCCAUCUGAGGACACUAAGGACAAUGUCAUCCUACAGAGACAUGAAAGGGAUCUGAGGGGUCCACUACCUGAUCCAUCUUAAUGGCCAAGUCUGCUUCCCUCCCACAAGCCUUCCAGUUCUAGCCCCUUUUCCUAAGUCAUCUUAAAAUAUGUUUUUUAAUCAAAAAGGGCUCUGCUAUACUGCACAUUUGUAGGUCACUCAUCUGGCAGCUUUCCAAGUACAAGGAAGUCACCUGGAUAGGCAAGGCAAAGUCUGUCCACUAAAAGAGAUCUUUUGUUCCUAAGAAAAUUGGUUCUCCCUCCGCUGAAAUCCUCAAACCCUAGGUGCAUACUCAAUUCCCUCUAUUAUCUAGUUCUCUGUUCCUUGGAAAAUAUACAAAGGGGAAAGGUGACAGAAGGAAGCACACAGGGAGUGACAAAACCUCCAGAAAAAAAAAAUGGUGACAAGCACAGAGAAGACAGAAAUCAACAGAAAAGCCAACAACUGAGCAGCUACAGCUCUGGCAAUAAUCAGAGUCGGCGAAGAUCAUUCUAUAGACAUGGGAUGCACCAAAUGCACUGCUCACCAUCCUCACUCCUUACCAGGCCACCCCGGCUGAUUCCAUGGCAUCAGUAAAAGCUUAGGAUCCCUGCUGCAGUCUCUAAUUGAGGAGACAGAGUACUGAAGAAUUCCACGGGUGUUCACUGCACUUAUGUCACACCAGGCCAGCAGGCCUCCAUGCCACCAAUCCACCAGGCCACCAGGCAACCAGGUCCAGAGCUCUUGGUGACACCAUGAGGAGAGUCCCAUGUGGGAAGACACAUAGCAAAAACAGUUGGCUCUUCCCAUCCUGAGGGUACAGCAGAGUGGGGAGUGUGGGAAAAAAAACAAUAAUUUUUCUUUCUUCCAUCUCCACCCCACCCCCACCACAUAGCCAUUCCAGGAGGCAUGUAAGAUUUUGAAACUAGAAGGCUUGGGUGUCCAUAAGGUUAAAACAAAGGAUAGUUUUUUGAAGACUCCAAGAAGGCAGGUCAAAAGCUAGAGAUAAUCAGGGCUUGCUAGGUGGACUGACUGGUCCUCCGUGUGGGACAGGAACCAUCCUGAGUCCCACUGCCCUAGGAUACAGAUGAAAGGAUACUAUAGCACAGAAGGCUUGUGGUCCUGAGAGUACUCACGAGGGGGGAGGUAGAAGGGAAUAUUCCUAGGCAAAUUUGAUGCCAGUAGCUGUCACAGUCAUGGCACAUUGAAGCCACCUAGGACAGAAUAUUCAACAAAUACUGACAGUUCCACAGCGGGGUGAGGGGUAGGGGAGGAUCAUGAGGCUGGCAGGAACACAGACUAAAAUAUCUGACUCCCAUCUUUAAGAGUCCUGCAGGCCCCAGACCCAACGCUUCAGCAUAAGGGAUUGCCUCCCUACGGGAGGCAGAAGAGUGAUCCAGCUGCAGUAGGGUCAAAAAAACACCAGGAAAACUGUCCCCAGAGCAUUGUAGAACAAAGUCCACACACUCAACAACUGUGAAGUAUCUCUAAGAACAGCUCUGAAGGGACCCUAGCACAGCAGUGCAGGGAACGGGGAAGUCAACUUUCUGGGAAAGACAAAUGUGUGAAGAGGGGGUGAUCACAAAGAACCUGCAGUAUGGUUAGGCACUUUGUAACUGCACCAGCAGGGCAUCCAGACAAGGGGUCCUGCAGCUGCAAGAGCCCCGAAACAGGAAACGUGAGGCAGGUUACCUGUUCAGGGAGAAACAGACAGCAGUAGGCAUGAGGGGCUGCCAGGGCCCCGAUUCUUCUGGAACUUGCUUCGAAGGCCCUGGGAUUGGAGCGUGGUCGGGGAGUGAAAAUCCGCUCAACAAACAUGGCCAAUGGUUGCUCCCUGCCAGACUAUGUAAUUGCAAAAUCCAUUUCCAGAUGGCAUGCUUAUCUGAGACACUAUAGGCACCAUGUACCCUGCAGGAGCUCUGGUGCUCCCAUCCCAGAUGCCAACGUCUCCAGACUGGACCCAGCCUGUAGGUCAUACCUGCUCCACCAGGCUCCCCAAAGCCUUCUAACCAGGAGAGGCGGUUCCGUGAGUGCUCUUGAGGACCAGCGCUGGGAUUCACAGCACACAUAUAGAAGGCAGGUAGGUAUGCUGGUAACCACAGAAACAGGAAGGUAAGGGGUCCUUGAGUUGGGGCACUACAGAGCAGAAUAGCAGAUUUGAAACAAGAGAUGGGCAAAAUGAGGAAGUGCUGUCAUUUGGAAGGUGCUCCAUAAGCUUCCUAGGGAGGGCAGCAACUGAUAAGAACCUCCCAGCUAUAAUACCUACAAACAACGAUGACCAGUGAAGCAUGACAAUGCUUAGGGUACAAAGAUAGCACUCAUAACUUGGCAGUGAUCAACAGCUCUGUAAUUACACCUCAGAUCCAUUCAAUAGGAGGGAAAUCAAGCCUGGAACUAGAAACAUA